rnacentral:rRNA from 1 species
UACGUAGGGGGCAAGCGUUGUCCGGAUUUAUUGGGCGUAAAGAGCGUGUAGGCGGCCAGUCAGGUCCGUUGUGAAAACUCGAGGCUCAACCUCGAGACGCCGAUGGAAACCGACUGGCUAGAGUCCGGAAGAGGAGAGUGGAAUUCCCGGUGUAGCGGUGAAAUGCGCAGAUAUCAGGAGGAACACCAAUGGCGAAGGCAGCUCGCUGGGACGUGACCGACGCUGAGACGCGAAAGCGUGGGGAGCAAACAGG